rnacentral:rRNA from 1 species
AGCGUACACGGUGGAUGCCCUGGCAGUCAGAGGCGAUGAAGGACGUGCUAAUCUGCGAUAAGCGUCGGUAAGGUGAUAUGAACCGUUAUAACCGGCGAUUUCCGAAUGGGGAAACCCAGUGUGUUUCGACACACUAUCAUUAACUGAAUCCAUAGGUUAAUGAGGCGAACCGGGGGAACUGAAACAUCUAAGUACCCCGAGGAAAAGAAAUCAACCGAGAUUCCCCCAGUAGCGGCGAGCGAACGGGGAGCAGCCCAGAGCCUGAAUCAGUGUGUGUGUUAGUGGAAGCGUCUGGAAAGGCGCGCGAUACAGGGUGACAGCCCCGUACACAAAAAUGCACAUGCUGUGAGCUCGAUGAGUAGGGCGGGACACGUGGUAUCCUGUCUGAAUAUGGGGGGACCAUCCUCCAAGGCUAAAUACUCCUGACUGACCGAUAGUGAACCAGUACCGUGAGGGAAAGGCGAAAAGAACCCCGGCGAGGGGAGUGAAAAAGAACCUGAAACCGUGUACGUACAAGCAGUGGGAGCACGCUUAGGCGUGUGACUGCGUACCUUUUGUAUAAUGGGUCAGCGACUUAUAUUCUGUAGCAAGGUUAACCGAAUAGGGGAGCCGAAGGGAAACCGAGUCUUAACUGGGCGUUAAGUUGCAGGGUAUAGACCCGAAACCCGGUGAUCUAGCCAUGGGCAGGUUGAAGGUUGGGUAACACUAACUGGAGGACCGAACCGACUAAUGUUGAAAAAUUAGCGGAUGACUUGUGGCUGGGGGUGAAAGGCCAAUCAAACCGGGAGAUAGCUGGUUCUCCCCGAAAGCUAUUUAGGUAGCGCCUCGUGAAUUCAUCUCCGGGGGUAGAGCACUGUUUCGGCAAGGGGGUCAUCCCGACUUACCAACCCGAUGCAAACUGCGAAUACCGGAGAAUGUUAUCACGGGAGACACACGGCGGGUGCUAACGUCCGUCGUGAAGAGGGAAACAACCCAGACCGCCAGCUAAGGUCCCAAAGUCAUGGUUAAGUGGGAAACGAUGUGGGAAGGCCCAGACAGCCAGGAUGUUGGCUUAGAAGCAGCCAUCAUUUAAAGAAAGCGUAAUAGCUCACUGGUCGAGUCGGCCUGCGCGGAAGAUGUAACGGGGCUAAACCAUGCACCGAAGCUGCGGCAGCGACGCUUAUGCGUUGUUGGGUAGGGGAGCGUUCUGUAAGCCUGUGAAGGUGUGCUGUGAGGCAUGCUGGAGGUAUCAGAAGUGCGAAUGCUGACAUAAGUAACGAUAAAGCGGGUGAAAAGCCCGCUCGCCGGAAGACCAAGGGUUCCUGUCCAACGUUAAUCGGGGCAGGGUGAGUCGACCCCUAAGGCGAGGCCGAAAGGCGUAGUCGAUGGGAAACAGGUUAAUAUUCCUGUACUUGGUGUUACUGCGAAGGGGGGACGGAGAAGGCUAUGUUGGCCGGGCGACGGUUGUCCCGGUUUAAGCGUGUAGGCUGGUUUUCCAGGCAAAUCCGGAAAAUCAAGGCUGAGGCGUGAUGACGAGGCACUACGGUGCUGAAGCAACAAAUGCCCUGCUUCCAGGAAAAGCCUCUAAGCAUCAGGUAACAUCAAAUCGUACCCCAAACCGACACAGGUGGUCAGGUAGAGAAUACCAAGGCGCUUGAGAGAACUCGGGUGAAGGAACUAGGCAAAAUGGUGCCGUAACUUCGGGAGAAGGCACGCUGAUAUGUAGGUGAAGUCCCUUGCGGAUGGAGCUGAAAUCAGUCGAAGAUACCAGCUGGCUGCAACUGUUUAUUAAAAACACAGCACUGUGCAAACACGAAAGUGGACGUAUACGGUGUGACGCCUGCCCGGUGCCGGAAGGUUAAUUGAUGGGGUCAGCGCAAGCGAAGCUCUUGAUCGAAGCCCCGGUAAACGGCGGCCGUAACUAUAACGGUCCUAAGGUAGCGAAAUUCCUUGUCGGGUAAGUUCCGACCUGCACGAAUGGCGUAAUGAUGGCCAGGCUGUCUCCACCCGAGACUCAGUGAAAUUGAACUCGCUGUGAAGAUGCAGUGUACCCGCGGCAAGACGGAAAGACCCCGUGAACCUUUACUAUAGCUUGACACUGAACAUUGAGCCUUGAUGUGUAGGAUAGGUGGGAGGCUUUGAAGUGUGGACGCCAGUCUGCAUGGAGCCGACCUUGAAAUACCACCCUUUAAUGUUUGAUGUUCUAACGUUGACCCGUAAUCCGGGUUGCGGACAGUGUCUGGUGGGUAGUUUGACUGGGGCGGUCUCCUCCUAAAGAGUAACGGAGGAGCACGAAGGUUGGCUAAUCCUGGUCGGACAUCAGGAGGUUAGUGCAAUGGCAUAAGCCAGCUUGACUGCGAGCGUGACGGCGCGAGCAGGUGCGAAAGCAGGUCAUAGUGAUCCGGUGGUUCUGAAUGGAAGGGCCAUCGCUCAACGGAUAAAAGGUACUCCGGGGAUAACAGGCUGAUACCGCCCAAGAGUUCAUAUCGACGGCGGUGUUUGGCACCUCGAUGUCGGCUCAUCACAUCCUGGGGCUGAAGUAGGUCCCAAGGGUAUGGCUGUUCGCCAUUUAAAGUGGUACGCGAGCUGGGUUUAGAACGUCGUGAGACAGUUCGGUCCCUAUCUGCCGUGGGCGCUGGAGAACUGAGGGGGGCUGCUCCUAGUACGAGAGGACCGGAGUGGACGCAUCACUGGUGUUCGGGUUGUCAUGCCAAUGGCACUGCCCGGUAGCUAAAUGCGGAAGAGAUAAGUGCUGAAAGCAUCUAAGCACGAAACUUGCCCCGAGAUGAGUUCUCCCUGACUCCUUGA